rnacentral:misc_RNA from 1 species
GUUAAGUCCUUAUUUAAUGCUGUAAGCCUCAAGUCCAUAGCUCGCAACAAGUCAUUUUUCGACGCAGCUGAUGAAGAAAAUUCUGGUCCAGACCUCUGUUUCGGACUAGAGCAGUCGAGGUUGCAGCCAUCUUUUUCUUCAGUCUUUGACAUCUGACCCUGGCCAUACAAAGAAAGAUGAAAUUUUUUGGUUUCUUCUAGUUGAGACAUCUCAUUCAUUGUUUUCAUGAUAUUCAUUA